GGAUCCCAUCAGAACUCCGAAGUUAAGCGUGCUUGGGCGAGAGUAGUACUAGGAUAGGUGACCUCCUGGGAAGUCCUUGUGUUGCAUUCCCC
rnacentral:rRNA from 1 species